UACGUAGGUGGCAAGCGUUGUCCGGAUCUAUUGGGCGUAAAGGGAACGCAGGCGGUCUUUUAAGUCUGAUGUGAAAGCCUUCGGCUUAACCGGAGUAGUGCAUUGGAAACUGGGAGACUUGAGUGCAGAAGAGGAGAGUGGAACUCCAUGUGUAGCGGUGAAAUGCGUAGAUAUAUGGAAGAACACCAGUGGCGAAAGCGGCUCUCUGGUCUGUAACUGACGCUGAGGUUCGAAAGCGUGGGUAGCAAACAGG
rnacentral:rRNA from 1 species